CCUACGGGUGGCAGCAGUGGGGAAUAUUGGACAAUGGGCGAAAGCCUGAUCCAGCCAUGCCGCGUGUGUGAAGAAGGCCUUCGGGUUGUAAAGCACUUUCAGUGGGGAAGAAAGCCUUGGGGCUAAUACCCUCGAGGAAGGACAUCACCCACAGAAGAAGCACCGGCUAACUCCGUGCCAGCGGCCGCGGUAAUACGGAGGGUGCGAGCGUUAAUCGGAAUUACUGGGCGUAAAGCGCGCGUAGGCGGUCUGAUAAGCCGGUUGUGAAAGCCCCGGGCUCAACCUGGGAACGGCAUCCGGAACUGUCAGGCUAGAGUGCAGGAGAGGAAGGUAGAAUUCCCGGUGUAGCGGUGAAAUGCGUAGAGAUCGGGAGGAAUACCAGUGGCGAAGGCGGCCUUCUGGACUGACACUGACGCUGAGGUGCGAAAGCGUGGGUAGCAAACAGGAUUAGAUACCCGAGUAGUC
rnacentral:rRNA from 1 species